rnacentral:rRNA from 1 species
CCCAGACUCCUACGGGAGGCAGCAGUGGGGAAUAUUGCACAAUGGGGGAAACCCUGAUGCAGCAACGCCGCGUGAGUGAAGAAGUAUUUCGGUAUGUAAAGCUCUAUCAGCAGGGAAGAAGAAGGACGGUACCUGACUAAGAAGCCCCGGCUAACUACGUGCCAGCAGCCGCGGUAAUACGUAGGGGGCGAGCGUUAUCCGGAUUUACUGGGUGUAAAGGGAGCGUAGACGGUUAAUCAAGUCUGAAGUGAAAGCCCGCGGCUCAACUGCGGAACGGCUUUGGAAACUGAGUAACUGGAGUGCUGGAGGGGCAGGCGGAAUUCCUGGUGUAGCGGUGAAAUGCGUAGAUAUCAGGAGGAACACCGGUGGCGAAGGCGGCCUGCUGGACAGUAACUGACGUUGAGGCACGAAAGCGUGGGUAUCGAACAGGAUUAGAUACCCCAGUA